rnacentral:rRNA from 1 species
CCUACGGGAUGCAGCAGUAGGGAAUCUUCGGCAAUGGGGGCAACCCUGACCGAGCAACGCCGCGUGAGUGAAGAAGGUUUUCGGAUCGUAAAGCUCUGUUGUAAGUCAAGAUCGAGUGUGAGAGUGGAAAGUUCACACUGUGACGGUAGCUUACCGGAAAGGGACGGCUAACUACGUGCCAGCAGCCGCGGUAAUACGUAGGUCCCGAGCGUUGUCCGGAUUUAUUGGGCGUAAAGCGAGCGCAGGCGGUUUGAUAAGUCUGAAGUUAAAGGCUGUGGCUCAACCAUAGUUCGCUUUGGAAACUGUCAAACUUGAGUGCAGAAGGGGAGAGUGGAAUUCCAUGUGUAGCGGUGAAAUGCGUAGAUAUAUGGAGGAACACCGGUGGCGAAAGCGGCUCUCUGGUCUGUAACUGACGCUGAGGCUCGAAAGCGUGGGGAGCGAACAGGAUUAGAUACCCUAGUAGUC